UACGAAGGGGGCUAGCGUUGCUCGGAAUCACUGGGCGUAAAGCGCACGUAGGCGGAUUGCUAAGUCAGGGGUGAAAUCCUGGAGCUCAACUCCGGAACUGCCUUUAAGACUGCAUCGCUAGAACGUUGGAGAGGUAAGUGGAAUUCCGAGUGUAGAGGUGAAAUUCGUAGAUAUUCGGAAGAACACCAGUGGCGAAGGCGACUUACUGGACAACUGUUGACGCUGAGGUGCGAAAGCGUGGGGAGCAAACAGG
rnacentral:rRNA from 1 species